rnacentral:misc_RNA from 1 species
GAAAUGCGAUAAGUAAUGUGAAUUGCUGAAUUCAGUGAAUCAUCGAAUCUUUGAACGCACAUUGCGCCCGCCAGAAUUCUGGCGGGCAUGCCUGUUCGAGCGUCAUUUCAACCCUCGAGCUCCCCUUUCGGGGGGAGCCCGGCGUUGGGGACCCGGCGCUAACAACGCCGGCCCCGAAAUGGAGUGGCGGCCCGUCCGCGGCGACCUCUGCGUAGUAACAACCACUCGCACCGGGACCCGGGCGCGGCCACGCCGUAAAACACCCCACCUUCCGAAUGUUGACCUCGAAUCAGGUAGGAAUACCCGCUGAACUUAAGC